ensembl:lncRNA
AGACGAGGUGGACAGGGAGAGGCCGAGAGAGCUAGGGGGUAUUAAGAAAGAAGCACCUCUGGCAUUUGAUGACUGGUUUGGAGAGAAGGGCUGGUGCCUGCAGAUGUUUGGACCAGGUGGUUGCUCACAGAUGAAAUGACAGAAGCCAGGUAAGGAGUGGACGAUGUGGAAUUUGACCGUGGCCACUGUGAGAUAGGGGCAGGCAGUCAGAUAUGCAGGAGGAAGUGAGAGGGAUAGCAGGUACCAUGUGCGGAUGCUGGUUGAAGAUAGGAGUGUGCUUAAACCUGGUGAAUACCGAAUGACGCAAGUAAAAAAGCUUAUGGCGUGCCCACUGUGGGCCUGGAAGCUCUGCUUUUCCUCUUUCAGCCCUCUGCAUAUGCCUGCAAGGAAGGAUUUGUUUACUGCUCCCCGGUCUAGCUGGAGAAAGGAUUUAAGUCUGCCGGUACUGGUAGCAGUCCAAUUUCGCAGCGAGGUGCUGGGAGUGGCACGAGCGGCUCAAGGUCAGACAACCCAGAAGGUUUGGGUUUGCAAGCUGAAUCCUGACGACGACGACUAACCGCCAGCACUCGGUGAAGAGUUACGACAGGCCAGGCACUGAACCCUGUAAGGUACUGCUAGCAGAUCUGCGUCUCACACAGGAGAAAACUGAAGCACGGUUUCCGGAAAUUGCCCAGACUCACUCAGCCGCGGAGUGGCUGGCCACGGUUCAACUUCAGGUUCUAACUUGGGUUGUACCGGGGAAACACCUGGAGAGUUUCUAAUCCACUGGUACCUGGUUCCUGCCCCUGGAGAUUCUAAUUUUAUUGAUUUAGGGUGUGGCCCGAGCAUCAGGCUUUUUUUGGUUUUGUUUAGAGCACACCAGGUGAUUCUAAUGAGAACCUAUCUCCAGGGUCCAAGGUCCACAAGAUCAAGGCUGUUCACUCCUUGCAGGCACCACGCCUGUGACUUGAGUGGCAGUUACUGACGGCACGGCUGAAUUCCUCCGUUUGGGGUUAAUACAGGGAAGAAGAAGAGAGGUUUCAGGACAGGGGCCCUGGCUGCAGGCCUCUGCAGGAUUUGUCAGGCCUUGGCUGAUCCUUGACCUCUGUCAGCCUCCCCUCUGCACAGCUGGAGACCAUGAUCUCACUGCCCAGUCCAGCCCACCCCACUCCAAGCCCUCUGCCCAAGUCUCGCCCUGGGUGGGGCAGGGUGGGGGGCAGGCAACUCUUGUGCAUAUCAACAGCAAUAAUUUUUUUUUUUUAAGAUUUUAUUUAUUUAUUCGACAGAGAUAGAGACAGCCAGCGAGAGAGGGAACACAAGCAGGGGAGAGGAAGAAGCAGGCUCAUAGCGGAGGAGCCUGAUGUGGGGCUCGAUCCCAUGACACCGGCAUCACGCCCUGAGCCGAAAGCAGACGCUUAACCGCUGUGCCACCCAGGCGCCCCUCAACAGCAAGAAUUCUUGAUCAGGAACCCACCUGACCCGUUGCUAAGCUCCGUAACCAGCUUCCGGACUUGGUCCUGGGUCGGCCCUUGUGAACCUGGCUAAGGUGACUCUGAAUCGGCCCACUUCCUGCAAAG